UGGGGAAUAUUGCACAAUGGAGGAAACUCUGAUGCAGCGACGCCGCGUGAGUGAAGAAGUAAUUCGUUAUGUAAAGCUCUAUCAGCAGGGAAGAUAGUGACGGUACCUGACUAAGAAGCUCCGGCUAAAUACGUGCCAGCAGCCGCGGUAAUACGUAUGGGGCAAGCGUUAUCCGGAUUUACUGGGUGUAAAGGGAGCGUAGACGGCAAUGCAAGUCUGAAGUGAAAGGACGGGGCUUAACCCUGUGACUGCUUUGGAAACUGUGUAGCUUGAGUGCCGGAGGGGUAAGCGGAAUUCCUAGUGUAGCGGUGAAAUGCGUAGAUAUUAGGAGGAACACCAGUGGCGAAGGCGGCUUACUGGACGGUAACUGACGUUGAGGCUCGAAAGCGUGGGGAGC
rnacentral:rRNA from 1 species